rnacentral:rRNA from 1 species
UACAGAGACUGCAAGCGUUAUUCGGAUUCACUGGGCGUAAAGGGUGCGCAGGCGGUUGUGUGUGUCAGGUGUGAAAGCCCGGGGCUUAACCCCGGAAUUGCGCCUGAGACUACAUGACUAGAGCAUUGGAGAGGGUAGCGGAAUUCACGGUGUAGCAGUGAAAUGCGUAGAUAUCGUGAGGAACACCAGAGGCGAAGGCGGCUACCUGGACAAUUGCUGACGCUCAGGCACGAAAGCGUGGGGAGCAAAAGGG